rnacentral:snRNA from 1 species
GUGCUUGCUUCUACAGCACAUAUACUAAAAUUGAAACGAUACAGAGAUUAGCAUGGCCCUGUGCAAGGAUUACACACAAAUUCAUGAAGUGUUCCACAUUAAA